rnacentral:rRNA from 1 species
GGGGAGCGAAAUUUAAGUAGCGAAGUUCCUGACGUCACACUGCCGAGAAAAGCUUCUAGUUAGAGUUUAGCUACCCGUACCGCAAACCGACACAGGUAGUCGAGGAGAGUAUCCUAAGGUGAGCGAGAGAACUCUCGUUAAGGAACUCGGCAAAAUGACCCCGUAACUUCGGGAGAAGGGGUGCUGAUCGCAAGAUCAGCCGCAGUGAAAAGGCCCAGGCGACUGUUUAUCAAAAACACAGGUUUCUGCAAAAUCGUAAGAUGACGUAUAGGGGCUGACGCCUGCCCGGUGCUGGAAGGUUAAGGGAAUGAGUUAGCGUAAGCGAAGCUCUGAACUGAAGCCCCAGUAAACGGCGGCCGUAACUAUAACGGUCCUAAGGUAGCGAAAUUCCUUGUCGGGUAAGUUCCGACCCGCACGAAAGGCGUAACGAUCUGGGCACUGUCUCAACGAGAGACUCGGUGAAAUUAUAAUACCCGUGAAGAUGCGGGUUACCCGCGACAGGACGGAAAGACCCCAUGGAGCUUUACUGUAACUUGAUAUUGAGUGUUUGUACAGCUUGUACAGGAUAGGUAGGAGCCGUAGAAUCCGGAACGCUAGUUUCGGAGGAGGCAAUGGUGGGAUACUACCCUCGUUGUAUGAACCCUCUAACCCGCGCCACUAAUCGUGGCGGGAGACAGUGUCUGGUGGGCAGUUUGACUGGGGCGGUCGCCUCCUAAAGAGUAACGGAGGCGCCCAAAGGUUCCCUCAGAAUGGUUGGAAAUCAUUCGUAGAGUGUAAAGGCAGAAGGGAGCUUGACUGCGAGACAGACAGGUCGAGCAGGGACGAAAGUCGGGCUUAGUGAUCCGGUGGUACCGUAUGGAAGGGCCAUCGCUCAACGGAUAAAAGCUACCCUGGGGAUAACAGGCUUAUCUCCCCCAAGAGUUCACAUCGACGGGGAGGUUUGGCACCUCGAUGUCGGCUCAUCGCAUCCUGGGGCUGUAGUCGGUCCCAAGGGUUGGGCUGUUCGCCCAUUAAAGCGGUACGCGAGCUGGGUUCAGAACGUCGUGAGACAGUUCGGUCCCUAUCCGUCGCGGGCGUAGGAAAUUUGAGAGGCGCUGUCCUUAGUACGAGAGGACCGGGAUGGACACACCGCUGGUGUACCAGUUGUUCCGCCAGGAGCAUCGCUGGGUAGCUAUGUGUGGAUGAGAUAAACGCUGAAAGCAUCUAAGUGUGAAACUCACCUCGAGAUUAGAUUUCCCAUUGCCUUCGGGCAAGUAAGACCCCUGAAAGAUGAUCAGGUAGAUAGGCUAGAAGUGGAAGUGUAGUGAUACAUGGAGCGGACUAGUACUAAUCGGUCGAGGACUUAACC